GGAUAACCUACCCUUAGGACUGGGAUAACCCUGGGAAACUGGGGCUAAUACCGGAUAGGCAAUUAUUCCUGCAAUGGUUUUUUGUUUAAAUGUUUUUUCGCCUAAGGAUGGGUCUGCGGCCGAUUAGGUAGUUGGUUAGGUAAUGGCUUACCAAGCCGUUGAUCGGUACGGGUUGUGAGAGCAAGAGCCCGGAGAUGGAACCUGAGACAAGGUUCCAGGCCCUACGGGGUGCAGCAGGCGCGAAACCUCCGCAAUGUGAGAAAUCGCGACGGGGGGAUCCCAAGUGCCAUUCUUAACGGGAUGGCUUUUCAUUAGUGUAAAGAGCUUUUGGAAUAAGAGCUGGGCAAGACCGGUGCCAGCCGCCGCGGUAACACCGGCAGCUCUAGUGGUAACAAUUUUUAUUGGGCCUAAAGCGUCCGUAGCCGGUUUAAUAAGUCUCUGGUGAAAUCCUGUAGCUUAACUGUGGGAAUUGCUGGAGAUACUAUUAGACUUGAGACCGGGAGAGGUUAGAGGUACUCCCAGGGUAGAGGUGAAAUUCUGUAAUCCUGGGAGGACCGCCUGUUGCGAAGGCGUCUAACUGGAACGGUUCUGACGGUGAGGGACGAAAGUUAGGGGCGCGAACCGGAUUAGAUACCCGGGUAGUCCUAACUGUAAACGAUGCGGACUUGGUGUUGGGGUGGCUUUGAGCUGCUCCAGUGCCGAAAGGGAAGCUGUUAAGUCCGCCGCCUGGGAAGUACGGUCGCAAGACUGAAACUU
rnacentral:rRNA from 1 species